rnacentral:snoRNA from 1 species
GCCAGAUGAUGCUGUCUGACACAGGAGCACUUGUGUGCAAGGACGACUCUGAUCUAUCACCCAUGACUGAUGGCU